rnacentral:rRNA from 1 species
UACGUAGGGGGCAAGCGUUGUCCGGAUUUAUUGGGCGUAAAGAGCGUGUAGGCGGCUUUUACAGGUCCGUUGUGAAAACUCGAGGCUCAACCUCGAGACGCCGGUGGAAACCGUAAGGCUAGAGUCCGGAAGAGGAGAGUGGAAUUCCUGGUGUAGCGGUGAAAUGCGCAGAUAUCAGGAGGAACACCAUGGCGAAGGCAGCUCGCUGGGGACGGUACUGACGCUGAGACGCGAAAGCGUGGGGUAGCAAACAGG